AUGAACGCUGGCGGCGUGCCUAAUCCCUGCCAGUCGCGCGAACAGACGAGGAGCUUGCUCCUCUGACGUUAGCGGCGGACGGGUGAGUAACACGUGGAUAACCUACCUAUAAGACUGGGAUAACUUCGGGAAACCGGAGCUAAUACCGGAUAAUAUAUUGAACCGCAUGGUUCAAUAGUGAAAGACGGUUUUGCUGUCACUUAUAGAUGGAUCCGCGCCGCAUUAGCUAGUUGGUAAGGUAACGGCUUACCAAGGCAACGAUGCGUAGCCGACCUGAGAGGGUGAUCGGCCACACUGGAACUGAGACACGGUCCAGACUCCUACGGGAGGCAGCAGUAGGGAAUCUUCCGCAAUGGGCGAAAGCUUGACGGAGCAACGCCGCGUGAGUGAUGAAGGUCUUCGGAUCGUAAAACUCUGUUAUUAGGGAAGAACAAAUGUGUAAGUAACUAUGCACGUCUUGACGGUACCUAAUCAGAAAGCCACGGCUAACUACGUG
rnacentral:rRNA from 1 species